GGCAAUCUCAACUUCCUGAAUCUUGCAAAAAUGAAGAGUUGUCGGUCCUCACCUCCUCGAUAACCUCCUUUUGGCGAGGAAGGACAAGUAUAUCCUACCUGAGUACUUCGCAGAAGACUUUUGAAAUUUGAACACAGCCCUUUAGAAUCAGCGAUUGUUCUCUGGAAAGAGGAAAAUAUGUAAACAUUUAAAAACAAUGGUACUUAUCAUUUUAUCUAUACUUGCACAACUAGCUACAUUUGUUUUUUUUCACUUCACACAUUUACAUUGGGAUUCCACGCAGUUGGACGAGAGUCUCAUUUCAUACAAGCGCAUGCUCCUUGUCGCCUCUCCCCGAUUACCUUUGACCUUUUUCUAAAGGAGGCCAGAGAGGAAGGACUGCUAACACAGGAGCAGUCUGUUUCUCUCUCCACGGUGAAGGGGAGAGUGAUCAAUCAUGAAGAUUGUCAUUGCCAAAGGCAGGGCGAUUGUAAAGCCCAACUCUCUGUUAGAGAGGGACACUGCAAGAACGUUGAGGACACGUGAUGAGAACGUUGUGAUAACCUCAUCCCUACCCCAGUCCAAAGCUUCCCCACUAACAAGUUUCACCUCUUACACUGACAUCAGAGAUACUGAGUGCAAAUAGAAAGCUAAUACUCUUCAUUGUCCUGUCUGUACUGGACAUGUGCUUGUGGUGUGUGAUGAAUUGGAGUUUGGAUUGUCUAUAUUUGGGCUCAGUGGCUUCCCCCCCAAAAUUGACCGAUAAUAAAAAAAAUCUAAACAUUUAAAAUAACUUA